rnacentral:lncRNA from 1 species
CUCCACUUGUUAUAUGCUAUUAGAAAUGAUUAUAAUAGCCAUAGAUUUUGCUUGACCCUUAACACAAAAUGCUUGAAGUAUGAACCUUGACAACCUUGAACCUCUAAACUUAUAACUAAAUAAUUCAGAAGAAAAUGGUAGAUCGUCAUGCUCAUACAUUCCUUUUUGUUUAUCGUAUAUUUAUACACAUUUAAAGAUAUAUACGUGACAUAUGAAGUUGGAGGAAAUAAUAACAAUAACAAUAAUGUUGGCCGUGAUCAAAAUUCAAAGAGUAGACUCUAAAUUUGUCAAGGCCACCUGCAUUAAGCAAAAAUCAUUUUAAAAUGUUGUAAUCGCAAUAUUCUUUUGGUGAAUGUCGAAUUUAUUUGAAUAUUAAUGUUCGAAUCAUCAAAUUUAUUCACUGAACGAUGAAUACAGUAGACAAAUAGCGAUUCUCCUUCUACCCUUUUGAUUUUAGCAUCAUUGAAGUUUUGGGAAACAUCCUCCCUGGACUCAUCCUCAAAUCCAUAAUAUUAAUGAAUGCGGGUGUGCACAUAUAAGGCACAUCGCCCCCUCUCCGUUGGUUGAUGUGGGAUUUUACAAUCCACCCCCCUUAAGGGUCCGACGUCCCCGUUGACACACUCGCACCACACAGCAGAGUGACUUUGAUACCAAAUUGUCACAUCCCAGGAUCGGCUCCGCCGUAGCACGAUAUUGUCCGCUUUGGGCCCCCCUCUCUGCUCGCACGAUUUUGUUUCUGGGAGUUCACGAGCAACUUCCCAGUGGGUCACCCAUCCUGGGAUUGCUCUGGCCCCCAACUCACUUAACUUUGAAGUUCCUACGACUCCGAAGCCAGUGAGCUCCCAAAAGGUCUCGUGCUAGAUGGAUGCAGGUGUGCACAUAUAAGGCACAUCGCCUCCUCUCUGUUGAUUGAUGUGGGAUC